GUUUCCGUAGGUGAACCUGCUGCUGGAUCAUUACUUGUAUGUGAUGUUCAUAUUUGAAAUUUCACAUCUUUUGAUGUGUAACGGCUGUCGCUGGUGUCUAUGUGUUGCUGAUUCAGUUGUGAACGUCCGUGACUGAAUAUGAGGUGACAUGUUAGGAUCUUUUUUAAGAUCGUAAGACUUAAUGAGCCAUUUAUUUGGACGCCAGCACUCUUUUUUUCAUUAAAAUUUUUUAAAAAACGAAAAAUUCUAGCCUUACCGGUGGAUCACUCGGCUCGUGGAUCGAUGAAGAACGCAGCAAACUGCGAUAAUUUGUGCGAACUGCAGAAACCUUGAGCAUAAAAGUUUUGAACGUGAAUUUCGUCAUUGGGGUCAAACCCUUUGACACGUCUGGUUCAGGGUCAUUUUUAUAAAACAUUAUUAUAUUGUUUUUGCUUUAUAAUAUUUAUUUAUUUCGAUUCGAUUUUAUAUGUGUAAUGUAAAUCGGAUCAGAUCGUUUAUAUAUUGACCUGAACUCAGUCGAGAUCACCCGCUGAACUUAAGCAUAU
rnacentral:rRNA from 1 species